rnacentral:lncRNA from 1 species
UUUUGCAACAUUAACGGAGUUAUAAAAAUGAAAGUGUAGUAUCAGUACCGGAAAUAUAUAGGUACAAGGCUUAACAACAUAAACAAUGUAUGACCAAUAUUCGUAGUUACAUGCAUAACAUUUUGUCAGUUAUUAAAAUUUUUUAAAUACAGAAACGUUGUUCCUAAUUGAUAUGACUUGCGAACUGUGUAAAUUUUGGGUCGUUAAUAGUUUUGCGUGGACGAAACGCACGACGUGUGUAUUACAUUAUAAGUUUGGCAUUAUUGAUUAAUUGUUGGUGUUUUAACGCUACUUUUAACGGCCAGUUUUUAUUGGUGAAAGAGGCCAAAGUGCCAAAACAACCGACCUUAGAUAGGAAAAGUUAUAAUUAAUUAACAUAUAUACAAUAAUAAAUUCACAUUUUACACAUUGAACAAAACAUUUUAAACACUUGUCUUAUCAUCACAUCAAAGUCUGAAGACUUAUUUAGUGUCAUGUAGGGAAAAAAACAUUGCACAUAUAAAGAUUGCGUCACUGAAGAUUUUUUACAAGGAAUUGAUAAGGUUUCGUCCUUUGUUACAUGACGUGAAACUAACGUGACUCCCUGUAUUUAUUCUAAUCUAUGUUCUUUUAUUAGGAAAACGUGAAACGGGUGACGCUCACGGAACGCAAAUACUUGCCCUCUUUUUUCACCUCAAAUCAAAUCGGCCAUUUUGCCACAAGUCAGGGUUAUUUGGGUUCAUAUUUAUUCAUGUAAUUAAUGUAUCAAAAAGGAUCAGACCUAAAUUCUACCAACUUAUGAAAUCUUCUCUUGUAAGCAUUAUAAUAACAAUAUUACAUGCCUCUGUCGGUGGACGUUUCAUUCCCGAGGGUAUCACCAGUCCAGUAGUCAGCACUUCGGUGUUGACAAGAAUAUCAAGUGUAUGGUCAUUUUUAC